rnacentral:rRNA from 1 species
UACAGAGGUCCCAAGCGUUGUUCGGAUUCACUGGGCGUAAAGGGUGCGUAGGUGGUUGGAUAAGUCUGAUGUGAAAUCUCCGAGCUUAACUCGGAAAUGGCAUUGGAUACUAUUCGGCUGGAGGUUUGGAGGGGGGACUGGAAUUCUCGGUGUAGCAGUGAAAUGCGUAGAUAUCGAGAGGAACACCAGUGGCGAAGGCGAGUCCCUGGACAACACCUGACACUGAGGCACGAAAGCUAGGGGAGCAAACAGG